rnacentral:lncRNA from 1 species
ACACAGUGGGGGCGAUGGCAGUAGCGGCUACGAAGGUGAGAAAUGCAGGGACGACCACGUACGAAAUGCGGCGACGACGCUGGUGAAGGAAGCCCUUCGGGAGAACAACGGUGGCGGCGAGGUUGAGGCGCAGCGGCAGGCGUGACAAAGAGGAAUGGCAGGCACGAUAGAGGCUGGAUGACGGAGAGACAAAACCUUGCAAAUGGGGCGCGACGGAGGAGAAGCUCUGAAACUGUUUUGUGUGAAGUGUAGAAGACGAAACUGUUUAUCUGUUAAAUUUUUUUAACCUUCAGACGAGCAUCUACCGCGGUUCAACACUAACCCGCUGUUAAAGAGUAGCAUAUACCACGAUUGUACACCUAAUCGAGGCCUAUUCUCCCCUUAAAAAUUUAAAUUUUACUUAGAUAAG